UUUUCCAGCGAAGCCCUGCUCACAUCUCCCAACAGAGGGGGAGCACACAAGCUCCAUGUUCCGUGACAUCUUGUGGGUAACCUGACACUGGCCACGGCGGGGUAUCCACCCCUGAGAGACGGGCAGACGCUGCAAGUCAGGCUUCUCCUGGCCUCCUCAGAACCAGCUCAGCCCAGGGCAAGGCUCCUUUCCUCAAAGAGCUCUGAAUCUCUAUGGGAGACACCGUGUCACCUCUGCACAGCCCACGUCAGGUCCUCAGUGCUGGGAACAAGAUGGGCCGUGUUUGCAGAGGAGUUGGGUUACCACAGACCCAGGGAUCUAUGCUUCUUUCCCACACAGUCCCAGUUGAAAUUCGAAAAUCGGGCAGGGAGCACCAAGGCUACACCCAGUGAGACGGCAGUCCCAGCAUGUGGCUGUUUAAAUUAAAAUUAACUGGCAUUGAGUGAG
rnacentral:lncRNA from 13 species